AAAUGAGGAGCCCAGGAGGAAAUCAAUCAGGGAGCACAGGCGAUGAUCCGAACUGUGGCCAUAAAGUGAAAUAGAUGAGGACCCUACCUCCAAUUCCUGGCCCUGCCCCAGCUCGGUCCUGGCCCUGUCCUGCCUCGGGCCCCCUCCCGGCCCUCCGGUUGCCGGCCCCGAGAUGUUCCUCCGGGCUGCCCAGAUCCGGAGGGACUGAAAAGAUCCCGGGAGAACGUCCUUGCUGGCUCCCUUGAGAACUUGAGUUAAGUUGCUAAGGAAUCUACGCUCCCGGUUCCGGAGUCCGCAGUCCGCAGUCCUGACCUGGUUUUUCCCACCGGACAGCAGAAAGGGAAAGACGGGAUCGGGGGCGGCGGAAGGGGCUGUCCCCCUCGUUCCAGGAAAAUAAAGCGUCCUCCCUGGUA